rnacentral:sRNA from 1 species
UCGUAGGCCGGCCUCACAGCCGGC